rnacentral:snRNA from 2 species
GCAUCGCCGUCUCGACUUUUACUAGGCGGCGCAGCCGAUUAGCGUUUAAACUUUGGGGUGUC